rnacentral:rRNA from 1 species
AGCGCAGGCGGUUUCUUAAGUCUGAUGUGAAAGCCUUCGGCUCAACCGAAGAAGUGCAUCGGAAACUGGGAAACUUGAGUGCAGAAGAGGACAGUGGAACUCCAUGUGUAGCGGUGAAAUGCGUAGAUAUAUGGAAGAACACCAGUGGCGAAGGCGGCUGUCUGGUCUGUAACUGACGCUGAGGCUCAAAGCAUGGGUAGCAAAACA